GAAGAUUGAAUGAGUGGGAUGAAAUUCGUCAUCGUAGAAGCACGUCAGUUGAAUUUGUACUCCAAUAGAAGACACUAUCGUAAUAAACCCGCUGUUCAAGUGGCACAUCUCACGACCCCAAUAAAAAUACAAUCUCCAAGUCCUCAUUAGGGCCCACAAACGAAGAGAGGGAGGAGCGGUCAAAAUCCACGAAAUUCCGCAAGUUAAAAAUCAGGAAAUUCCGCACGUAGGUACGUAACUUUCUUUCCACAACAGCCCCCCCCUGCACGUCC
rnacentral:lncRNA from 1 species